rnacentral:lncRNA from 1 species
UUAGUACAUUAUAUUACAAAAGAUUACGUGAAAAAUGGUGCUCCCUCUUAUCCCAGGGACAGAGCAAGAGGAGUUUAGGUGAGCUUUCAGGAAGAAUUCAUUGACAGAAUUGUCAGACACUGAAUGGGGUUCCAAGGUAAGUGGUGGAAUGGCUCCAUUAAACUUUGUUGCUGGGCAGAAGAGUGGCUUCCUUUCUGCUCUGUGAAUUACUGAAAUGCCCUAGUAUUUUGCUUCCACCCAUGGAUGUGCUAAUAUGUGAGCUGAUCUUUGUUCAGUAGCCUCUGUGACACCAGCUGUGUUGCUUCCAAUCCAAAGCCAUCCAUCCUCCCAUCUGCCCUCAAAAAGAGUGGAAAGAAUGAAGAAUCGUCUCUGAGGAUUGCCUUCUCUUUAUUUUUAAUUUAUGGAGUUUGUUUUUAUGCCCGUCCCUGUAAUUCUCCAGCCUGGCUUCUCUGGAACAGGUGCUUUAGUAAACUUACCAUGUCUGAGCAAUCCUAGGGCCCACAGAGCACUAGCUCUGCCCCCAUGGACCUGGCAAGGCUUUGAUGGGGGUUUCCUAUUCCACGGGUGGCUGGGUGGAUGUCUGGGCUCUUACUAGUGGGGGAAUUUGAUUUUCAAAGUGGAGUGGGCAGCUCUCUCUCUCUCUCUGUUCUUAGAUGCUUGGAAAUUAAUCAGCGACAGUUUCUUCUCCCAAAAGGAAAUGAGAAGUUUGGAACAGACCCCCAGACAGGAGUUCAGUUGUCCAGGCAUUUUGAUGGUGUGGCCUGAAGGGCUUUAACUGCUUUUAAAAAUUGCUAGCAUAAAUUGUGAAGACUUGAAGGGGAUGAUAUUGUUGCUCAGGCCUAGCUCAGGGGAGGAAACCAUGAGCAGAGUUGAGUGCAAGGGACAGAGUGGUGCAAGCCUGUUGAGAAUCCGAGGGGAGAGGAAAGAGGCAGCUUCUAGCGCACCACACACGGAGCAAAGUCCUGGUGCUCAGAGCACAGUCUGGGAGAGAAGUGCAAGGAGUGGGGAGAAGAGACUAAUGCAAGCCCAUCGCUGGAGACAGUGAUGCCAGUGCACAGGCCAAGAAAGAGGAGAGGGAACCAAUGGGGAAAAUAGUGUGGUAGGAGGGAGGCUUCAAAUGGAAGUGGUGACAGCCUUGUCCUUAGAGUUUUAUCCUUUUAAGUCUGCAACUAUGGGAGAGAUUGAGUUGGUGUUGAGUUGAACCGCUUGCACAGGAACAAGUGAAAUGUCCAGUGCCCCCAAUGCUUGGGGAAGAGCAAUAACUCACAAUCAAGCAUCUCCAUUGUCCCUGGACAGGGCCUCUGGAACCAGAGUCGAGAACCCCUUCCUGUAGGAAAGACACAGGGACUGUGGACAGACACAGAAGGGGGUACCCAGGAGCAGGGAGCAGAGUUUCUGGUGAGAAAAAUCCACCCAAGGAGGUGGGGACUCAUGGGAAUCGCUGCCAGCUCUGUGUGGUGGCCGAUCUCUCAGGCCCUGAGAGGGACACUCCGGCCCAGGGCUGCUUGACAUCAGCCAGCCUCUCCUGUCACAGCCCGUCCAGCGAGAGUGCCCACUGCAAAGCCUGCAGGCUGGCCAGGGAGGCUGCGCCGGGCCCACAUCCCCGUCUCUGUGAGCCUUUUUGGACCCCAGCCGUGGAACAAGCUGCAGGAGCCCUGGACGCCCUCCAGCUCCGUGAGUCAGUCUCUCCCCAGAGCAGCAAGCAGGCUUAGCUUUUCGCAGGGUGCCGUUCCACACGUGGAAGCCCCACCUCUAAGAGUUUCACGUCUGGACCAUUUGGCUCCUCCCGGGAGGAGGUUGGAGGGCUUCUUUGAAGACAUGACUUCCCUUAGGCCAGAAGCUUCCCAGGAAUAACAGCAACUAACUCUUGUAUCAUGCACCAAAGUGAACCGCACUUUCCCUACGUGUGCUGUGUAGUUUAAUACAGCAUGAACCUCAAGAAGUAGGAACUAUUCAUUAAUCUCUAUCUUUCAGAUAAGGCAAAGAGCUAAGGGAAGCAACUUGCCUAAGGUAGUAAGUGGCCUGGGAGUCAGACCGAGGCAGUCAGAUCUCACCAAACUGCAUCCACUUCCAAGCUGCUGGGGGAUAAUGUGUCUCAUUUCUUGUUUUCUCAGUAAAAUUUAAUGUUUUAAUCUCUCACUCUUGCACUCUGUCUCACCACACACACACACAGCCUGAUACAUAAAGCUGGCACUUCUAACCCAUGUCUGUCUCCCCUGUGAAACCUCAUAUACUGAUUAUUCAGCUGGUCAUACUGCAAACUCUCAGAUAACAUAUUUCUGCAGACUUGGAUGUUAGAUACUGAAUAAAUGAGGAUCAGAAAUCGAUGUCAAAGGGCAAGCUAACAGUCUCAUUUAGAAUGCUUCUCCCAUUUCAAAACUGGUGCCUUGAUUUUUUUUUUUUUUUUUUAUGGCAGGAACAAUUCAGAAACAGCUUAAAUCAUUCAGUCUUCUUCUUCUUUUUUUUUUUUUUUAACUUGCUGCAUUGGUAACCCUUUUCAUUCUUGUGUAAGAAAUUGGAACUGUAGCACAUAAUGAUGCUUUGGUAUGAAAUAAUGGUAGGAAUAAAAAUGAUUUCUUCUG